CCCAAACGGAUUUCUGAGCGAAAAGUUAUGUGUAUGUUCCUAGAUAGUGCACAAUAUGCCUACUCGAUUUUUCGUUCGUUCUUAACUAUCAUUCGUUUAUCCUCGAACACAAUCCUGGCUUAAUUCUUUGGGCUUUUAAUCAGAUUUUGAAGCUCCAAAUUACUUGAAUUCAUUAUAUAACAUCCACAUAGAUUGGAAUCACUCCU
rnacentral:lncRNA from 1 species